GAUGAACGCUGGCGGCGUGCCUAAUACAUGCAAGUCGAGCGAACGGACGAGAAGCUUGCUUCUCUGAUGUUAGCGGCGGACGGGUGAGUAACACGUGGAUAACCUACCUAUAAGACUGGGAUAACUUCGGGAAACCGGAGCUAAUACCGGAUAAUAUUUUGAACCGCAUGGUUCAAAAGUGAAAGACGGUCUUGCUGUCACUUAUAGAUGGAUCCGCGCUGCAUUAGCUAGUUGGUAAGGUAACGGCUUACCAAGGCAACGAUGCAUAGCCGACCUGAGAGGGUGGUCGGCCACACUGGAACUGAGACACGGUCCAGACUCCUACGGGAGGCAGCAGUAGGGAAUCGUCCGCAAUGGGCGAAAGCCUGACGGAGCAACGCCGCGUGAGUGAUGAAGGUCUUCGGAGCGUAAAACUCUGUUAUUAGGGAAGAACAUAUGUGUAAGGAACUGUGCACAUCUUGACGGUACCUAAUCAGAAAGCCACGGCUAACUACGUG
rnacentral:rRNA from 1 species